UGUGGCGGAGAGACCCCCGCGGCCCCUGCAGCGCCCGGAGCGGGACACGGGGCUGUGCGAACUGUUCAGGAAUCAGUGCUCACUUCAUCUCCUUCCCAUCCUCCUGGUAGUUAUAUUUUGGGUGUGCUUUAUCACGCACGCCACGUGUCAGUGCAGCAGUGCCUGCGUGUGGUUUAUAAAUAACUCCGUGUACACUGGGGACACGCUCGCUCAGGGGUGUUUCACUGUCAGGGGCCCGCCGAGGCCUCUCCCGGCCACACUUAAGGAUCUGGAGCAUUAAAUAACAUUAAGAAUUAACAGACGCCAAAGGAGUCGCAUUCCUUUUUCCGUGGGAAGGAGGUCAGCGCCGGCGGCGUGGGUGUCGCAGCAGCUUCUCCAGUUAUCCUUUCCUGCAGUAACCAAAACUGAGGUCACUGUGAAGCUUUAGCCCUGAUGAUUGACAAGAAAGCCACCUAAAGCGACCUGGCACCUAAAUUGCCUGAUGAGGAAAAUCCCCCUGCUCCCACCGCGUAUUGGCGUUUCAGCUCCAGAUAAUAUUUUAUGUGCAUUAUACCUAGCGCAGCUGAGGGAACCUUGUCGGCACGGCGUGAAUUCGUCCACCUUUACUCAGCGUUCAGGCGGAGAGCGGCUUCCCACCCCUGUGCAUGGGUUGGUGCUGCCGCUCGGGAAUGGUUUGCUCUCUCCGCGGCUCAGCCAGCACUGCAUCAGAUUGUUUGGGAAGUCAGCGGGGCUGCCGGGCACCAGGAUAAAGUUCUUGGAAAGGCGUCAUUGCGAGAGGACUGACAGUGCACACAGGAACCACAGUUACAGCCAGUCAUUGAUUCCCUUUCUGCUUGAGUGCCAUAAAACAUUUCCAGAAAUGGAAGGAGAAAAAGAGCAAAGUGCUAAAGCUACCAGUGCAGUGGGUGACCUGAGGAAAAGUUGGCAGACCUGGGCAGAGGAUCACAUUGAGUAUCAGAGGAAGAAUCCGUUCAGCAGCGAUGACAGGCUUGCGUCUGGACCUGCACACACUCACAGAGGAGAUCCCACCUACGGGAGACCCCCGGAAGGCUCUCGGACAGAGCAGAGAGGGAGAGAUGCUCACUCACACGUGGGUAGGGAAGUAGAAGAGCUGUGCUCGAUCAUCAGAAGAACUGGAAAGGUGGGAGAAGAUGGACACGUGACAGUGACAUUCGGGCAGCUGUUUGAAACAUACGUGACUAUUUCCAAUAAAGUAGUGGGAAUCUUGUUAAGAGCCAGAAAACACGGUCUGGUGCACUUUGAAGGUGAAAUGCUUUGGCAAGGAAAAGAUGAUGACGUGGUCAUCACUUUACUACAAUAAGGCUUUGUCCUGGAAUGAACUUUGCUGCACGGUUCCAUUUGGAAAAACAUAACGAGAUACCAUCUUCACAGGUUUUGGUUACAGAAUUUCAACUCAGCUACCUACUGGGACACAAGCAGGAGAGGAAAUAGGCAAGAAGGAUAUUUUUGUAAAAAUGGCAGAGAUUUGGACGGAAAUUGCAGAUUAUGAGCAACUCCAUCACGCUGACAUUAGAUUGUCGUUAUCAUCUACUAGCAAGUAUAUGAGAGUUCUUUAAAUGACUGUGCUGGCCUACUGCUUUUAGGUUACUGAAAGUAUAGAUUACUAACUGGCUAUCCUACACCACUGAUUCCUGCAGGUUGUGAAAUACUUACUGUGUGGGAGGAUGGGAUUUGUAAAACAUGGAAUUGAAAACUCUUGUGGGAAUUCAUAUACUUCUUCAAACAAAGAGCCUGGUAUAUAUAGCAAAAUUUUAGGUUCAAUCUCACAUGGUUAAGCUGAAUAAAUGGAAGUUAUUUUCAUGAAGUAGAUAGAAAUUCCCAAGCUUACAAAAAUAUCACAGCAAGGAUACUUGAUGGUUCUUAAAUUAGUUGCAUCUUGCUUGGAUUUUGGACAGCUGCACUGGUUGUGGUAUUUAACAGUCUAACCUUAUAGUCAUAUCUUCUCCAAACCUUCUGUGUAUCUUGUUCUUUUUGUUUUUUAUCUCACACAAUUUUUUUUCCUGUUCUUCUAAUGCUUCAGAAGAAGUCCACAAAGCUCUGCAGCCAUUUCGGUGAAUUCAGCUAUACCCCUUCAGAGAAGGUAGGGUGCCACAAUGUAAAGAUGCAAAAGUCAGCAGAAACUCUGUAUUUGGGCAUCUGUGCAUUCAUAAGGAAAAAACCCCUCUUAUUUCACCAAAAUGUAGCAAUGUUUUUUACAAGAGGAGAGUAGAGAUACUGUAGUACCAAAUGCAUAAAUGAAAGUAUAGCAGCAGUCCCACAGCUCAGUUGUCUGAAAGCACAACUGUGCUUUCAGAGCACAGUUGUGAGCUCUUCAGAAAGAAAAAUAAAGGAUUGGUUAUAUAACAUAGUUGUAAUAGUGCUAUGAAAAAUAAUCAGGAGCUGUAUUUACAAUAGUUACCACCAAUAAAACUAUAUAAUUAGAAAUCUAAAGUUAUAUUUUUUAGCAGUGCAAAUAGAAGCUUCUGUGUGGUGUUAACUACACUACUUGAUGGGUCUUUAAAGUAAGAUACUGUUCUUGCAUCAAAAGAAUAUUAAAAUUUAAUAUAAAUUAGGAACUUGGUAAAAGUGAUGUGUAAUUUUAUGCUAUUUAUAUAAAAGAACUUCUGUUGCAAAAAGCCUAAAAGAAUGGGGUUUUGUUUUGAUGUUUUCAUCCAGUGGGGAUUUGCACCAAACUAAGUCUUUGGCUGAGGAUUUCAUUAUUUUCCUCCCUCCUUUUUUGUUUUUCUGGUGAAAGGACAAUGAAAAGAGAGGGAAAAAAAGGGAAUAAAUUAAUGUGCUGAAAUAAGUAUAUCUGGGGAACAGGGCAGUCAGAUGCAGGUAGAGAAUGGAUUUUAACCACCACAUCAUUUUAACACACUGGAAAAGGGGAAUAUGUGCUGCACCAGGCACUGUUGGUGUGCUCCCUUAGCUUUCAAACCUACUGCUUCUUUCUAAACAGAUCUACACCUUGCAGCUGAAAAAGAAGUAGAUGUAGUUUGUUAGCUUAACAUACUUAAAAUGUUCUUUUUGAAAAAGCAUUUCUUGCCAAAUGACAUGAGCACAACCUCAUUUUUCCGCUCCUAUUAGAGGAAGUCUUUACAUGCAUUCAGAUUUCAAUGCAAAUUAAAGAUUUUAUAGUGCAGCUGUGGAAUGAGUUUUGUUUAAUUCUAACAAUUCUGAAAUCCACUCAGUUCUGCUGUAGUGUUAGUUCACAACUUGCAGGAAGCAGCAUCAGGCACUUCAAGUGUCAUCAGCUGAUUAAUGGGAUGCGAUAAGGAAAAACAACACGUUGCUGGACAUUGUACAAAUAAUUCAUUGCAAGACACACACGUGAGGCAGUAUGUAGCCUGAGCACCAUAAGAUGCAAGUCCAGCUCACAUAAAUUUACUACUUUUUAAUUAAGGCUGGCUCAAAUAGUUAAAUAUCAGCAAUGUAGGCUGUCACUGCCAUGUAAGUGGUAGAUGCUUGAGCACAUCUACAAGCACUUUUAAAGUACACCUCUGAUCAAAACAGAAGCAGAGCAAACCCUUAAUGACAUGGUCUUACCUACUUUGUAAGCGACUAAAAAAAGCUUGCUCUAUUAUUAUAUUUUUAAUAGAACCAAGGAUUACUAUAUAACAAAACUAUUAUUUAUAGAGGGAUUUUUUUUAAACAAUUACAGAGCCAACCUGCCAGCUUUAGAUGAGCAUUCUGGAAAACGUGACUGAAAUCUUUCUGUGUGCCCAUGCAAUGAUUAUAAACACUGAGCUGCCAAACUGGCUCAGCACACAGGUUGACAAAUCCAUCUUGUGCUUCCAGCAAUAGCAUUUCAAAAAAAGACUAAAAGAUAGAUAAUAGAAAUGGUCAGCUUGCCCACUGGUACACUCUAGAAUAAAAAAUUACUCCUGAAGCCUGUUUAGUAAUGAAUGUAUUAUAUCUAAUGCGCAUGACUCAGUUCAGCUACAAGUUUUACAAAAAUAUGCUUCAUCUGUGAUUAAAUAAACAUCUACAGAUGAAAUAGGAAUUUAAGCUUUUCAACAGGGCAACUUGGUUUUUUCCAGCAGGCUCCCAUUAGAGUAAAUGGAACAGAAUUUAUUAAAUUGUUUUUGCAAAAAUUGUAGCACGUAAGGGGUUUUAGUAUUACAGAUUUGGAGUAGUAAGUAAACCCCAACCUUUUUAAAAGGUGUUCUUGCCCUAAUAAGCAUCUUUUAGCUGUUUAAAUCUCUCCUAAACUUCACUUUGUGACAUAUUACCUCAGUGGUCUUUGCCCUCCUUCCACUUGAAGUCUGUAAACUCUGCAUGUGUUUUGGACUGUAUAUCAUAUACAAGACUAUCUGUGGUUCAUUUUGUUAAACACUGAAGGCACUGUCACCAUUUCAAUAAAUGUUGCACAUUAGUUUGAAAUGGCAAGAGUUUUUAUGCAGCAUUUAAUUGUUUACAAGUUUCUCACAUUUCAAAUACAAUUUUCAUUGGUUUGCUCUCAUUCUCCUACUUUUAUUUACAACUCACACUUAAAAAGACUUUGUAAUAGUCUGAGGUGUUAUUACCAAUUUAACCACAAUUUCUUUUUAUUUUUAACAGCAUGUUAUGUGUACCUGCUUCAUCCUUUCAGCACAAAAAGCAUUAUUCCCUGGGUUCGUGUUAGGUUGGGAGUUUAUGUAAGACAAUUGAGCAAACCAGUACAAAUAAAGCUUUGUCAUUCCUAAACAUGAGGUCAAAAAAGCAGCUUUUCUCAAGACUGCUAAUACUGGAUCAAAGAACAGAGCCAGCAGCAGUGGCUAAACAACUUUCCUUUGCUUCUUCAGGCUCUUUGGAGAGUAAGAGCUGCUGAGUUCAUGCUCCUUAUUGAUCUUUGCUCCUUAGAAAGCUCUACAGAUGAUUUUGGAAGUUUUAAAAUUUCUAAAAGCUUCUAUAGAAGACAGUGACAGAGUUAAUAGGAUCUGCCCACUGUCUCUUCCAGGGACUAGCCAGUAAUUCAAUAGCAUAUUGAAGUAUUAGGUUUUUCAAAAAGUAUUUCUUCACCUAAUUAAAACAAUUAUCUUCAGAGUUGAAGAAUGCUUGUCAAUGCAGAAGGAAAACAGAACACAGCUCUGUGCAGAAAAGCACUAACAAGAGGCUGAGAAUUCCUCUCAGUAAUUAGUGUGCCUCUGUUUAAUGCUUUGCUGUUUCAGCUGUUCAGAUGUGUGUCUGUUGCUGUCAGGGAACACAGGAUAUCCCCAUCUUUCUCAUCAGCAAAACUCUGGAAGUGACAUUAUACCCAGAUUUUUACCUUUUCAGUCUUGCCGUUAGUGGGGCCAUUCUCCAAAAUUAAGACAUCAAAGUUGGCCUUUGUGGUUUCAUAUACAUUUCAUAUACAUCAAAGUUGGCCUUUGUGGUUUCAUGUACAUUUGGCAAGAUAGAGAGUCUGGCUGGGAUGGAGUAACUUCCUUCAGAGCAUCCCAGGUUUUAGUGCGACUGGAAGUGCUGGUAACACAGUCACCAACAGUUCUGGUGAUUGCUGUGCAUGAGCAAUGCAUGGACAGUAUCAGAGCAUUCUUUCUCCUGCUCUGCACCCUGCCUCAAUGGGCAAAAAGCUUAGAGAAAGCACAACCUGCACACCUGACACAGACUGGCCAGCAGGGAUAUUCCAUGACAAAUAAUGUCUGGAAUAAAAGCUGAAGAGAGGGCUAUUUUUUGGGGUGUGGGGGCGUUGCUAUUGGCCGGCCUAUGGGAGGUCAUGAGUGAUUACCUUUGCUUUUUUCUUCCUCUUUCUUGCACAUAUUAAACUAUCUUUAUCUCAA